rnacentral:rRNA from 1 species
GGGGGGGGGGGGGGGGGGGGGGGGGGGGGGGGGGGGGGGCGGAGGGGCGGGGGGCUUGCUUCUCUGAUGUUGGCGGCGGACGGGUGAGUAACGCGUGGAAAACCUACCUGUAAGACUGGGAUACGUUCGGGAAACCGGCGCUAGUCCCGGAUACUAUUUUGAACCGCAUGGUUCACAAGUGCAAGACGGUCUUGCUGUCACUUAUCGAUGGAUCCGCGCUGCGUUCGCGAGUGCGGAAGGUAACGGCUUACCAAGUCAACUCUGCAUACCCGCCCUUCGAGGGUGAUCGGCCGCACUGGAACUGAGACACGGUCCAGACUCAUACGGGAGGCAGCAGAAGGGAAUCUUCCGCAAUGGGCGAAAGCCUGACGGAGCAACGCCGCGCGAGUGAUGAAGGUCUUCGGAUCGUAAAACUCUGUUAUUAGGGAAGAACAUAUGUGUAAGUAACUGUGCACAUCUUGACGGUACCUAAUCAGAAAGCCACGGCUAACUACGUG